rnacentral:rRNA from 2 species
CGAGGCGAACCGGGGAAACUGAAACAUCUCAGUACCCCGAGGAAAAGAAAUCAACCGAGAUUCCCCCAGUAGCGGCGAGCGAACGGGGAGCAGCCCAGAGUCAACAUCAAUAUUUACCACAGGAGAAGGGUCUGGAAAGGCCGGCAAUAAAGGGUGAUAGCCCCGUAUCUAAAGCGGUAAGUGUUGUGAACUCGAAGAGUAGGGCGGGACACGUGUUAUCCUGUCUGAAUAUGGGGGGACCAUCCUCCAAGGCUAAAUACUCCUGACUGACCGAUAGUGAACCAGUACCGUGAGGGAAAGGCGAAAAGAACCCCGGCGAGGGGAGUGAAAUAGAACCUAAAACCGUGUACGUACAAGCAGUAGGAGCACCCGAAAGGGUGUGACUGCGUACCUUUUGUAUAAUGGGUCAGCGACUUAUAUUCUGUAGCAAGGUUAACCGCAUAGGGGAGCCGUAGGGAAACCGAGUCUUAACUGGGCGUUAAGUUGCAGGGUAUAGACCCGAAACCCGGUGAUCUAGCCAUGAGCAGGUUGAAG